GCCAUUUUGGGAUAGGAAAUGGUGAAAGAACUGGGCAAGUUCAGCAGCGUCCGUGGAGAGUCGCAGAGUUAAUGUUUUAGUUUCAGGGUGAGAACAGGAAUGAAAAUGGAACAUGAACAAGACAGUCCAUCAAAAGCUCAAAGUCAUGCUGGUAGGGAAGUCCAAAACUAGAGGGCAUAAGUUGAAGCAAAAAUUGCGGCAACCUAACUCUGCUGUUAACACUGAUUCUUAUGGGAAAUGAGGCCUCACUUAAAGUUGUGAUUUUCAGGAGUUCAUGUCAAAUUCAUGUGAGAUUUUAGAGUACUAAUUUUUCAAAAUGUAAUCAAAUCAGAAUAAAUGUGAACUGUCGAAUG